rnacentral:misc_RNA from 1 species
AAGUCGUAACAAGGUUUCCGUAGGUGAACCUGCGGAAGGAUCAUUAACAUUAUUCUUUUACUUUUUGGGUUGUUGUAAGUGGUGGAGUGUUUUUUUUAAACAUUCUAUCUCUUACAAUUCCCAUUCUAACCCCAAACUAUGUGCACUGUGUUGUGCUUUUCUAACCAAAAGCACUUCUUUUUUUUACUUCUUAAAACCCCUUUUAUUACUACUUCUAGACUGACUUUAAACAACUUGAUUCGUACACUUCAUACUGUACGAUGACCAAUCAUAAUACAACUCUUAGCAACGGAUAUCUAGGCUCUC